rnacentral:lncRNA from 1 species
AUUAGUAACAAUACUCUAGUUCAGGGAAACAAUGCGCAUGUGCAAGAUCGAUCGUGAUUUUGCGUUAUCGACUAAUUAGAUACGAGAUUUGAUAAACUGGGGGCAUUAUCAGUUUAUUGAUUUAUCAGAUCGGCAUCGUUAUUACUGUAGUCAGAUUAAUGCAUACUUUAUUUUCACAUGCUAUGGCAAACGAAAAUAUAUACAACAUAUGACAAACAAAAGGCAGCAGAGAACAGAAGUUACAGAGUAUACAAUAAUAUUAUGACAUUAUAUGUGAUCUAAUUUUCCAAGCGGCUGCAUUUGAAUAAA